ensembl:lncRNA
AGGGAGGAGAGGUAGAGGAGAGAUAAAGGGAGGAGAUGUAGAGGGAGGAGAGGUAGACGGGGGUGAGGUAUAGGGAGGAGAGGUAGAGUGGGGUGAGGUAGAGGGAGGAGCGGUAGAGUGGGGUGAGGUAGAUGAGAGUUAUAGGGAGGAGAGUUAGAGGGGGUGAGGUAGAGGGAGGAGAGGUAGAGGGGGUGAGGUAGAGGGAAUAGAGGUAGAGAGGGGUAAGGUAGAGGGAGGAGAGGUAUAGUGGGGUGAGGUAGAGGGAGGAGAGGAAGAGGGAGGUGAGGUAGAGGGAGGAGAG